UACGGAGGGGCUAGCGUUGUUCGGAAUUACUGGGCGUAAAGCGCACGUAGGCGGCUUUGCAAGUUAGAGGUGAAAGCCCGGGCUCAACUCCGGAAUUGCCUUUAAAACUGCAUCGCUAGAAUUGUGGAGAGGUAAGUGGAAUUCCGAGUGUAGAGGUGAAAUUCGUAGAUAUUCGGAAGAACACCAGUGGCGAAGGCGACUUACUGGACACAUAUUGACGCUGAGGUGCGAAAGCGUGGGAGCAACAGG
rnacentral:rRNA from 1 species